ensembl:lncRNA
GUAUUUAAACUGGUAUUUUGGCCACACCUCAAAUGUUGUCUUGACCAAUUAGAUACUGUCUUUUCUCAGGGUGUUGCAUUGUCUGUCCCACCCAUUCAUAAAUCAUAUGUUAUCUUAUCAAGCUCGUGGUCCGAAUUUUCCCGCUCUUGCAGGGUAUAAUUUGGACAUGAUUCCUAUAACAAGAAUAUGAUAAAUUUGACAAAUAACUGAUGGUCAGAAACGUUUCAAGCAAGAAGAUUCGAACACACACAUACUAAACAUGAAUAUGAUCCCUUAAGCUAUUCAAGAGUUAUUUAAAAAGACAUACACAAUAAGUGAUUAGAAACAUUAAAGUCAAAUGUGUGGGUUACAGGUAUAAAAUGGAGUUAAGCAAUGGACUGAUAUCCAUUUAGAAGUCUUUUUUUUUAGUUAAUUUUGGUGCAUAUAUGCAUUGGAAGGCAUUCUCUGUGCCAUUCUGGGGAGUAAGGAUAUCUCCUGUGAAGACCAGAGGGGUUAACAGGUCUCCUUAGGAAUUUCAGUCUGGUUCUGCUAGGUGGGGGGAAGUCAAUCCAACGAUCUUGGACUGUGGUGCUGGGAGUUGAUUUACAACAUCCUGCCUUUCUGUGGAAUUCGGCUCAUGUUUCAACCAGGCUCCCGAUCGAAUCUUUAAUUUGUCUGGUUCACGCUACAGUACUCAGACGAAAUGGCCCAGCCCUUAACCCAUUUCCCGCUAGGACUUCUCUUUAAAAAUGAAAACCAAACUGGUGACUUGCUGGAUGUGCUCCAGCACAUUCAAAAGGAGUAUGUAGCAAGAUCUCCUGAUGGGUUGGAGAAGAUUUUGGUCGGGGGUGAUAGGCUAACGGAAGGUAACAUCCGAAAUGUCCAAUGGGCCUUUGCCAAUGGGGAGACAGUGGAAACCGCCUGGAAGGCUUAG